CCUACGGGAGGCAGCAGUGGGGAAUAUUGCACAAUGGGGGAAACCCUGAUGCAGCAACGCCGCGUGAGUGAAGGAGUAUUUCGGUAUGUAAAGCUCUAUCAGUAGGGAAGAAGAAAGACGGUACCGGACUAAGAAGCCCCGGCUAACUACGUACCAGCAGCCGCGGUAAUACGUAGGUGGCAAGCGUUAUCCGGAGUUACUGGGGGUAAAGGGAGCGUAGACGGCUGGGCAAGUCUGAGGUGAAAGCCCGUGGCUCAACCGCGGAACGGCUUUGGAACCUGUAUGGGUUGGGUGUUGGAGAGGCAGGCGGAAUUCCUGGUGUAGCGGUGAAAGGAGUAGAUGUGAGGAGGAACACCAGGGGCGAAGGCGGCCUGCUGGACAGAAACUGACGUUGAGGCUCGAAGGCGUGGGGAGGAAACAGGAUUAAUACCCCAGUAGUC
rnacentral:rRNA from 1 species